UUGGCUCGUUCUAUAUGGUCAGUCAUCCAAAUAGCUUCUGACUUGUAUCCUCCCUGUAGUGUUGCUAAUGUAUUUGGCAACUGGUUACAUGGGAUUGAUCACAGGUUUAGAACUCUUCUCAGGGUGGGAGCGCUUGCCAUUAUUUGGUCGCUUUGGCUAUGUAGAAAUGAUAAGGUUUUUAACGAUAAAAGUACUUCUCUGUUGCAGGUUAUCUACAGAUGUACCGGGACUCUUCGUUUAUGGUCCUCUCUACAACGCGUGGAGAAUCGAGGCCUGUUUACGGAGGUGUGUACACGAUUGGAGGCUACGGCGAGGGAUACUUUUACCCAACAUGGGUGGCAGCAUGAUCUAAGGAUUGGCCCCCCUCCAUAUUAG
rnacentral:rRNA from 1 species